rnacentral:RNase_P_RNA from 1 species
GGGGCUGGUCGGCGGUCGCCGGGGUUUUAGGCCCCGGAGGAAAGUCCGAGCUCCGCAGGGCAGGGCGCCGGGUAACACCCGGAGGGGGUAACCCCUGGAAAGUGCCACAGAAAACAGACCGCCCCUGUACCCUUUUCUAGAAUUUAUGGGUACAGGGGUAAGGGUGAAAAGGUGGGGUAAGAGCCCACCGCUCCCCCUGGCAACAGGGGGAGGCACGGCAAACCCCGCCCGGAGAAAGGCCAUGUAGGGGAGCGCUUGAGGGUGGCCCGCCCGAUGCUCCCGGGUAGGCCGCUAGAGCGGUUGGGUAACCAACCGCCUAGAGGAAUGACCGCCACCUGGCCUUGGCCAGGGACAGAACUCGGCUUAUGACCAGCCCCUUUU